rnacentral:ncRNA from 1 species
GAGAGCACAGUACGAUGAAAGUUGUACGCUGUGUUCGGGGGGGGGGGGGGGGGGGGGGAGUUAUUGUUUAUCUUAU